rnacentral:rRNA from 1 species
CCCUUAGAUGUUCUGGGCAGCACGCGCGCUACAAUGGUCUUCGCAAACGGAUGCAUUCUCGAAGGAGAAUGCCAAUCUUGGAAUCUAUGCCUUGGUCGGGACAGUUGCUUGCAAUUUUUCGACUCGAACCAGGAAUUCCUUGUAAUCGUGAUUCAUCACAUCACGAUGAAUACGUCCCUGCCCUUUGUACACACCGCCCGUCGCUCCUACCGAUUGGGUGUGCUGGUGAAAUGUUCGGAUCGGCCGUUUGUCGCGGUUUCCGCGUCAUGUGGCUGAGAAGUUCAUUAAACCCUCCCACCUAGAGGAAGGAGAAGUCGUAACA